rnacentral:sRNA from 12 species
ACAGUGGAUGCUGAAUUAGAGUUUGACAGCGUAAGACCACCGCCCGACAAGAUCGAAGAGG